GGAAAUUGAAAAGCGAAAUAGAAGCAGCAGGAUUUUUAGCUCUGUUUUGGAUUGAAUUCUAAUAUUAAAUAUUAAGUGAAGUGACAAGUGUUAUACAGUUUUUGAAAUCGGAAGUCAAGAGGGUUCUAUCGGUGUGUAGGUUUUUGAAAUUGGAUACUUCGUUGAAAAGUUAUGACGUCUGGAAAGAUAUUCGAACUUAGCGAUAAAUUACUAAUUAUGUCGGCAGACAGACUGACGGGCUUCACGGUGUUUGAAUCAUAUCUGUGCUGUAAGUACCUUUGCCAAUUUCUGGAAUUGUAGGAGUAACAGUUUUGAAGAUUUCAACAACUUUCGGUAAAAAUUCGACAAGUCAUUGUGGGCUUCCUGCUAGUUAUUUCCGAAAAAUAUUCGGUUGUUUAUGAGAGGACAUUAACUAUUAACUUUGUGCUAAAUUUCAUCUCGAUACACCUUAUAGUUUUUGAAUUAUGGCCGUUCCAUCAAAUUUUCCUAACCUUCAAAAUGUGUUCUAUGGCGUAGCCAUAGAAACGGUCAUUGACUUUACUCUUAUGAAGUAGCUGGAAACUUGGGUGAGUAGCGAUUUUAUCACUUAUAAUCGAAAUAACAAGGAAGAAGGCAAUGGCAAACCACUUCCUCAACUCUUGCCAAGAAAACUACAUGGACAAGGAAUUUCAUAAUAGAGAUAUAGUGUUGGAGGAUGAGACCUUCGGGUUCGAAAGCACUCUAACUUCUACUGGGGACGAACAAGGAACUUCACUGACUAAGAUUGAACAUAAUGGCAUGAUUAAGUCAAAGCUGAAAGGGAGUUUAAUCAUUGAUGCAGUCAAACACGAAAAGAAAGUUCCAAGUUUCUUCAAACAACACAUAUUUGCAACAUGGAAUGUGAGAAGCAUGUAUGCUGGAAAACUAGACAUAAUUAAAAGUGAAAUGACAAGAAUAGGGAUAGAAGUGUUAGGAGUCAGUGAGCUUAAAUGGAUAGGAAUGGGACACUUUGAUUCAAAUGACUUUAGGAUCUUCUAUUCUGGACAUGAUAACUUAAGAAAAAAUGGAGUGGCUCUAAUUGUAAAAAAGAAUUUAGUAAAUUUUAUUUUGGGUUAUAAACCAGUUAGUGACAGAAUCAUAGUCUUGAGGAUGCAGGGAAAACCAGUCAAUCUGUCAAUCAUUCAAGUUUAUGCUCCUACUACAGAAGCGACAGAAGAAGAAAUUGAAGGGUUUUAUGAAAAGCUUCAAGAAACAGUUAAUAAUUUACCAAAAAAAGAUGCACUCUUUAUUCUUGGUGACUGGAAUGCAAAAGUAGGAAAAGAAGAGACUCCAGGACAUGUUGGAAGAUAUGGUCUUGGGAAAAGAAAUGAUGCUGGGAUACGACUAGUGGAAUUCUGCAUUUCAAAUAACCUCUUUAUUGCAAAUACAUAUUUCCAAUUACAUAAACGAAGACUAUAUACAUGGACAUCACCAGAUGGAAAUUAUAAAAAUCAGAUUGAUUAUAUAAUAGGUAGCAAGAGAUGGAGGAAUGCAAUCAAAUCAGCAUGUACCAGACCGGGUGCUGACUGUGGGACUGAUCAUGAACUCCUUAUAUCAAAAAUAUCAUUCCAUUUGAAAGCUAAGAAAAAAGGAAGGGAAAUAAUGGGAUGUUAUGCUACAGAUAUCACCCCAUCUUACAUCUCAGAAAUAAAAGAAGGUCUCAAAACAAUUAAUACAUCAGGAAAGGAACCUGAUGAAGUAUGGGAGUCUUUAAAAAACACUAUUAAACAUACUGCUGAUAAAUGCAUAGGAAAGAAGAAGAAGGAAAAUAAGAAAUCGCCUUGGCUGUCACACAAAUCUUUAGAAAUUGCAAACACUCGGAGACAAAUGAAAAUUAUAGGAGAUCGUCAAACAAUUAAAAAAUUAACUGCAGAGUUCCAAAGACAGGCUAGGAAGGAUAAAGAAGAAUAUUUUAAUAAUAAAUGCAAAGAAAUUGAAUUAAAUAAUGCGAAAGGACGUACAAGGGAUCUCUUCAAAACAAUUAAAGAGGUCGUUGGAAAAUUUACCCCUAGGCUUGGUAUUUUAAAGAACACACAUGGAAAAGAUCUAAUGGAAGAAAGUGAAAUAAAGAGAAGAUGGAAAGAAUAUACAGAACAGCUUUAUAAAGCAGAUAAUAAUAUAGAAGAAAUAAUUGAAGGAAGACAUUUUACUUUGGAACCAUCAAUUUUGAAGGAAGAAGUGGAAUGGGCAAUCAACCAAAUUUCAAUUGGGAAAGCAGCAGGAACUGACGGAAUUCCAGUGGAACUGCUCAAAGCAGCUGGAGAGGAAGGAAUUAGAAUACUAACAAAGCUAUGCCAACAAAUAUGGGAAAAGAAGGUUUGGCCAAAGGAGUGGAAGCAAUCCAUUUUUAUACCAAUCCCAAAAAAUGGCAAUGCAAGAGAAUGUUCCAACUAUAGAACAAUCGCACUAAUUCCCCAUGCAAGUAAGAUUCUGUUAAAAAUAAUACAGAAGAGAAUUGAGCCAUAUUUAGAAAGAGAAUUGCCACUGGAACAGGCUGGAUUUAGAAAGGGAAGAGGAACUCGCGAUCAAAUUAGCAACAUCAGAUGGAUUCUAGAAAAGGCAAAAGAGUACCAGAAGGACGCCUUCUUUUGUUUUAUAGACUAUAGUAAAGCCUUCGAUUGUGUGGAUCACUCCAAGUUAUGGAUUAGAUGCAUGUUUUGUUGGCAUACCAUUAGAUUCGGGAGUAUCGUAUCGUUCAGGUUGUAGAUUUGGACCUCGAGCAGUUAGAGCAGAAUCAGCUCUUCUUCGGAUAUGUAAUGCAUCAACAGGUGUGAUACCAUUUCAAAACCUCCAAAUUGCUGAUAUUGGUGAUAUAUCAGUUACAAUAUAUGAUCUGAAACAGGCCGUGAAA
rnacentral:misc_RNA from 1 species